rnacentral:rRNA from 1 species
UGCGGAGGGUGCAAGCGUUAAUCGGAAUUACUGGGCGUAAAGCGUGCGCAGGCGGUUUGUUAAGUCCGUUGUGAAAGCCCCGAGCUCAACUUGGGAAUUGCAGUGGAUACUGGCAGGCUGGAGUACGGUAGAGGAAGGUGGAAUUCCCGGUGUAGCAGUGAAAUGCGUAGAUAUCGGGAGGAACACCAGUGGCGAAGGCGGCCUUCUGGACCAGUACUGACGCUCAUGCACGAAAGCGUGGGGAGCAAACAGG